AUUGAACGCUGGCGGCAUGCUUUACACAUGCAAGUCGAACGGCAGCGGGGGCUUCGGCCUGCCAGCGAGUGGCGAACGGGUGAGUAAUGCAUCGGAACGUGCCCAGUCAUGGGGGAUAACUACGCGAAAGCGUAGCUAAUACCGCAUACGCCCUGAGGGGGGAAAGCGGGGGUUCGCAAGACCUCGCGUGAUUGGAGCGGCCGAUGUCGGAUUAGCUAGUUGGUGGGGUAAAGGCCUACCAAGGCGACGAUCCGUAGCGGGUCUGAGAGGAUGAUCCGCCACACUGGGACUGAGACACGGCCCAGACUCCUACAGGAGGCAGCAGUGGGGAAUUUUGGACAAUGGGGGCAACCCUGAUCCAGCCAUGCCGCGUGAGUGAAGAAGGCCU
rnacentral:rRNA from 1 species